rnacentral:snRNA from 13 species
GAACUUACCUGGAAUCGGGACCAGGGUGAUCACUGACGCUCUGGCUUCAGGUGAAGGCUCCCCUUUGCACUGUGGAGGUUUGAAUCCUGCAACUAUCCCUGAUCUGGCUCAUAGUUUUUUCUAGUAGGGAGGUCAUCGGAUCAUCCCUU